UACGAAGGGGGCUAGCGUUGCUCGGAAUCACUGGGCGUAAAGCGCACGUAGGCGGACUCUUAAGUCGGUGGUGAAAUCCUGGAGCUCAACUCCAGAACUGCCUUCGAUACUGAGAGUCUCGAGUCCGAGAGAGGUGAGUGGAACUGCGAGUGUAGAGGUGAAAUUCGUAGAUAUUCGCAAGAACACCAGUGGCGAAGGCGGCUCACUGGCUCGGUACUGACGCUGAGGUGCGAAAGCAUGGGGAGCGAACAGG
rnacentral:rRNA from 1 species